rnacentral:rRNA from 1 species
CCUACGGGAGGCAGCAGUGGGGAAGUAUUGCACAAUGGGCGCAAGCCUGAUGCAGCAACGCCGCGUGAGGGACGACGGCCUUCGGGUUGUAAACCUCUUUUAGUAGGGAAGAAGCGAAAGUGACGGUACCUGCAGAAAAAGCACCGGCUAACUACGUGCCAGCAGCCGCGGUAAUACGUAGGGUGCAAGCGUUAUCCGGAAUUAUUGGGCGUAAAGAGCUCGUAGGCGGUUUGUCGCGUCUGCUGUGAAAACUGGAGGCUCAACCUCCAGCCUGCAGUGGGUACGGGCAAACUAGAGUGCGGUAGGGGAGAUUGGAAUUCCUGGUGUAGCGGUGGAAUGCGCAGAUAUCAGGAGGAACACCGAUGGCGAAGGCAGAUCUCUGGGCCGUAACUGACGCUGAGGAGCGAAAGCAUGGGGAGCGAACAGGAUUAGAUACCCUGGUAGUCCAUGCCGUAAACGUUGGGCGCUAGAUGUGGGGACCCAUUCCACGGUUUUCCGUGUCGCNGCUACGCAUAGUCGCCCGCCGUCGGGNGGUACGGCCGCGACGGACGUAAACGUUAAACGUUAGUAGUUAGUUACGGUCGUUGAGACGNGCCGACGGACGACGACGAGGGAGGAGG